CCUGAACGCUGGCGGCGUGGCUAAGACAUGCAAGUCGAACGGGACCCGCAAGGGUUCAGUGGCGCACGGGUGAGUAAUGAAUCGCUAAUGUGCCCCGGACUCUGGGAUAGCUACCCGAAAGGGUAGGUAAUACCAGAUGAGACCACGGAGAGGCAUCUCUCUGUGCUCAAAGGAGCAAUCCGGUCUGGGAGCAGGCGAUUUCGUAUCAGCUAGUUGGUGAGGUAACGGCUCACCAAGGCGACGACGCGUAGCUGGUCUGAGAGGACGGCCAGCCACAUUGGGACUGAGACACUGCCCAGACUCCGUACGGGGGCUGCAGUAACGAAUCUUCCGCAAUGCACGAAAGUGUGACGGAGCGACGCCGCGUGUAGGACGAA
rnacentral:rRNA from 1 species